rnacentral:rRNA from 1 species
AGAUUGGGAUAGCGGAUGGAAACAUCCGAUAAUACCGAAUACUUAUUAUUUUUGCAUGAAAGUAAUAUAAAAGGAAGCGUUUGCUUCGCUAAAAGAUCGGAGUGCGCAACAUUAGCUAGUUGGUGAGGUAACGGCCCACCAAGGCGAUGAUGUUUAGCGGGGUUGAGAGAUUGAUCCGCCACACUGGGACUGAGAUACGGCCCAGACUCCUACGGGAGGCAGCAGUAGGGAAUAUUCCACAAUGGACGAAAGUCUGAUGGAGCGACACAGCGUGCAGGAUGAAGGCCCUAUGGGUUGUAAACUGCUGUGGUUAGGGAAGAAAAAGUAGCAUAGGAAAUGAUGCUACCUUGACGGUACCUGAUUAGAAAGCAACGGCUAACUAUGUGCCAGCAGCCGCGGUAAUACAUAGGUUGCAAGCGUUAUCCGAAAUUAUUGGGCGUAAAGCGUCUGUAGGUUGUUUGUUAAGUCUGGCGUUAAAUUUUGGGGCUCAACCCCAAAACGCGUUGGAUACUGGCAGACUAGAGUUAUGUAGAGGUUAGCGGAAUUCCUUGUGAAGCGGUGAAAUGCGUAGAUAUAAGGAAGAACAUCAAUAUGGCGAAGGCAGCUAACUGGGCAUACACUGACACUGAGAGACGAAAGCGUGGGGAGCAAACAGGAUUAGAUACCCUGGUAGUCCACGCCCUAAACGAUGAUCAUUAGUUGAUGGGGAACUCAUCGACGCAGCUAACGCAUUAAAUGAUCCGCCUGAGUAGUACGUUCGCAAGAAUAAAACUUAAAGGAAUUGACGGGGAUCCGCACAAGCGGUGGAGCAUGUGGUUUAAUUUGAUGUUACGCGUAGAACCUUACCCACUCUUGACAUCUUCUGCAAAGCUAUAGAGACAUAGUGGAGGUUAACAGAAUGACAGAUGGUGCAUGGUUGUCGUCAGCUCGUGUCGUGAGAUGUUCGGUUAAGUCCUGCAACGAGCGCAACCCUUAUCCUUAGUUACUACCAUUUAGUUGAGCACUCUAAGGAGACUGCCCGAGUAAUCGGGAGGAAGGUGGGGACGACGUCAAAUCAUCAUGCCUCUUACGAGUGGGGCUACACACGUGCUACAAUGGACGGUACAAAGAGAAGCGAAGUGGUGACAUGGAGCAAACCUCAAAAAACCGUUCUCAGUUCGGAUUGAAGUCUGCAACUCGACUUCAUGAAG